rnacentral:lncRNA from 1 species
CGCAGGGAGAACUCAUGGCACGGAGGGAUCAGUGUGGAUGUGAGACUGUUGUGAAAAUUCAGAACCAAGAGGAAAUGGCCAACCCAUCUCCUGGAGAGAGCCUGAGGAUGUGGGACAGCCUGAGCUUCCAGCCCUCUGCCACUCUGAGCACUGGCAGCUUUGAGCAGGACUUGGGUGAGGGAGAUUUUGGCAGCACAGAGCUGGAGGAUAAACACGGGAGUCACCUGGACAUUUUGAGGCAAACCUCCUUACUACUGGCUCACAAACUGAAGCUCCAGCAGCAGCAGCAGCAACAUCGGCUUCUGGUGCUGAGGGAGAAGGCAAAGCAAGAGGUUGAGGAAAGCCACAGGUUUCUGAGGGACCUGCUGCAGCUCAGUUCAGAGGACAGCAGGAAUUCCAAAGGCAGUGAUCCUCCUGUGACAAGACCUUACCACGCAGAGCAGACACAAAGAGGACACUGGCUGGAAGGUGACCUUGCUGCUG